rnacentral:rRNA from 1 species
GACGAACGCUGGCGGCGUGCUUAACACAUGCAAGUCGAACGGAAAGGCCCUGCUUGCAGGGUACUCGAGUGGCGAACGGGUGAGUAACACGUGGGUGAUCUGCCCUGCACUUCGGGAUAAGCCUGGGAAACUGGGUCUAAUACCGGAUAGGAGCCAUUUUUAGUGUGAUGGUUGGAAAGUUUUUUCGGUGUAGGAUGAGCUCGCGGCCUAUCAGCUUGUUGGUGGGGUAAUGGCCUACCAAGGCGGCGACGGGUAGCCGGCCUGAGAGGGUGGACGGCCACAUUGGGACUGAGAUACGGCCCAGACUCCUACGGGAGGCAGCAGUGGGGAAUAUUGCACAAUGGGCGCAAGCCUGAUGCAGCGACGCCGCGUGGGGGAUGACGGCCUCGGUUGUAA